rnacentral:rRNA from 1 species
UACGGAGGGGGCUAGCGUUGUUCGGAAUUACUGGGCGUAAAGCGUACGUAGGCGGCUUUGUAAGUUAGAGGUGAAAGCCCGGGGCUCAACUCCGGAAUUGCCUUUAAGACUGCAUCGCUAGAAUCAUGGAGAGGUGAGUGGAAUUCCGAGUGUAGAGGUGAAAUUCGUAGAUAUUCGGAGGAACACCAGUGGCGAAGGCGACUCACUGGACAUGUAUUGACGCUGAGGUACGAAAGCGUGGGGAGCAAACAGG